GUCGUUGUAGUAUAGUAAGUAUUUCCGCCUGUCACGCGGGUGACCCGGGUUCGAUCCCCGGCAACGGCG
rfam:Triticum urartu cultivar G1812 contig976165, whole genome shotgun sequence.